rnacentral:rRNA from 1 species
UGCCUGGCGGCCAUAGCGCGGUGGCACCACCUGAACCCAUGCCGAACUCAGAAGUGAAACGCCGUAGCGCCGAUGGUAGUGUGGGGUCUCCCCAUGCGAGAGUAGGACACUGCCAGGCAU